UACGUAGGGGGCUAGCGUUGUUCGGAAUUACUGGGCGUAAAGGGCGCGUAGGCGGUCUUGUAAGUUCCGUGUGAAAUCCCUCGGCUCAACUGAGGAACCGCACGGAAAACUGCUUGGCUUGAGUUCGGGAGAGGGAAGCGGAAUUCCGGGUGUAGCGGUGAAAUGCGUAGAUAUCCGGAGGAACACCGGUGGCGAAGGCGGCUUCCUGGACCGACACUGACGCUGAGGCGCGAAAGCUAGGGGAGCAAACGGG
rnacentral:rRNA from 1 species